rnacentral:rRNA from 1 species
UACGUAGGGUCCGAGCGUUGUCCGGAAUUAUUGGGCGUAAAGAGCUCGUAGGCGGUUUGUCGCGUCUGCUGUGAAAUCCCGAGGCUCAACCUCGGGCCUGCAGUGGGUACGGGCAGACUGGAGUGCGGUAGGGGAGAAUGGAAUUCCUGGUGUAGCGGUGGAAUGCGCAGAUAUCAGGAGGAACACCGAUGGCGAAGGCAGUUCUCUGGGCCGUAACUGACGCUGAGGAGCGAAAGCGUGGGUAGCGAACAGG